AGUGAACGCUGGCGGCAGGCCUAACACAUGCAAGUCGAACGGCAGCACAGUAAGAGCUUGCUCUUACGGGUGCCGAGUGGCGGACGGGUGAGGAAUACAUCGGAAUCUACUUUUUCGUGGGGGAUAACGUAGGGAAACUUACGCUAUUACCGCAUACGACCUACGGGUGAAAGCAUGGGAUCUCCGGACCUUGCGCGAUUGAAUGAGCCGAUGUCGGAUUAGCUAGUUGGCGGGGUAACGGCCCACCAAGGCGACGAUCCGUAGCUGGUCUGAGAGGAUGAUCAGCCACACUGGAACUGAGACACGGUCCAGACUCCUACGGGAGGCAGCAGUGGGGAAUAUUGGACAAUGGGCGCAAGCCUGAUCCAGCCAUACCGCGUGGGUGAAGAAGGCCUUCGGGUUGUAAAGCACUUUUGUUGGGAAAGAAAAGCAGCAGGUUAAUACCCCGCUGUUCUGACGGUACCCAAAGAAUAAGCACCGGCUAACUUCGUG
rnacentral:rRNA from 1 species